UACAGAGGGUGCGAGCGUUAAUCGGAAUUACUGGGCGUAAAGCGCACGUAGGCGGCUUGGUAUGUCGGGUGUGAAAUCCCCCGGGCUCAACCUGGGAACUGCAUCCGAAACUGCCUUGCUUGAGUAUGGGAGAGGGAAGUGGAAUUUCCGGUGUAGCGGUGAAAUGCGUAGAUAUCGGAAGGAACAUCAGUGGCGAAGGCGACUUCCUGGACCAAUACUGACGCUCAGGUGCGAAAGCGUGGGGGAGCAAACAGG
rnacentral:rRNA from 1 species